CGUUGCUUCAAAGAAAGGAUGAGGAGCCCAACUGAAAAAAAAUAAAGUAUAGUAAUUGGAAAAUAGCGUUUAGUCACAGAGGAGCUGUAAAAACAAUAGAGGAUGCUCCGAGAUCUGAAAGCCUCUGUGGUUCACCUUUGCCAGGAAUAUCUUCAUGUGGAAUUUGCUGAGAUGUUGCAACUUCUAUUCAGUUCAUUUCAAGUCAGGACAAUGAAACAGUGCAGGGCAGGGUGCUGAAGCUGGAGAGGAUCACAGAAGGGAGAAGUUCAUACAUUUAUGGUCACUUCGGACUGCUGAAUUUCACUUUCACAUAUUGCAGCACAGUACUCGUGGAACAGGCUUCGGUGCAAUUUCCCAUGGACACAGGACUUAUGCAACCAGUGUGCUGCCUGGCCAUGCAGAUCUCCGACUCCCUCCCUCUCUGUCCACCCUCCUGCCUCCAGCAAUCCCUGAACACAUCUGAUCUCUGCCACCAGGAGCACAGGUCUCGCAAACAGCCUACGGCUUUCAUGACUGCAAGCUGCUCCUCGGUGAGGCGAGGCAGCUCGUUGUGCCAGCCCAGGGUGAGCUUACACCUCAUUAGAAACCAGAGAAACCACAUGGGAGGUGAUCUCACAAAUGCUCCAGCUGUGGGAAAAGAUUCAACUGUGGCUUCUCCAUCAACAUGAGAUGCAAAUCCCAGGGACCUGAGCUUCACUUUCAUUCAGGCUCCUGGAGAGGCUGCCUUUAUUUGCAUUGAAGAAGAGGCAAUGGAAGGACUCAGAAGACUGUUGCCCUGGAAGAAGAGGAGCAGGAAGACCCUGCAUGUCCAGUGGACCAGAGACCCUACAAGUCUAAGGCACAGAGACCUGAUAAGUCCAAAGAGACUGGCAGCCAUUCUUACUAAUUUCUUGCUGAAAUGUGGCUCUGGAGAGUUUUGUGAAACUGGAGAGCAUUAUGUGUUUUUGACUGGACCUCAUACUCUAACAUCUUGCUUCCCUGAGCUGCCAUAUCAGCAUGUUAUUUUCUAUACCUUUUCCUUGCACUUCAGACAUUUAUUUUGUGUUCCAAUCUCCUCCUCCAUGUCUACAACACAUCCUUAACCCUCAUUUCCACACUCCCACAUAAUCUACUGGAAGGGUGAUUUUUUUGGCAUUUGUGAGCGGUGUUAACAAGGAUCAGAUGGUGCCAUUGUUUAUGAAAGAACCAGGUUUCCUUUACCAGCUGUGGCAUGCACCAGUAAAAAAAAAAACAUCCAGCAGUGUGGACUUUACAGUGGAGUUCUUGUAUUUAGCAGGUGAAAAGUCAAUACUCUACCUGUAAUGAGAUUCGGUCAUGGAAAACCCCUUGAAGUUGUUUUUAGCAACGAGGCAUUAGUCACCCUUGGACAGCUGCUGGCCACUCGGCGCUUCUGGCUCGCACCGCGCCACGUGCAAGGGCUGUUUUGAAGGCUGCUCAGUGUUAAUGGUGACUCUUGCUACGCCUCAGGUGUUGAGUUUAAGCACAUGGUUUCUGGUUAUUUUAGGAAAACAUGAGCUCAUGUUCCAAGCAGCCUUUCCUCCAGUGAGAAGUUCAUUGCAGCCCAUCCCUGUGCAUGGGGCUGGGGAUGGUUAUACCCCGUGUCUUUGGGGGACUAGUGUGCCUUGGGUUUUCUUCCAAGUCUGGGGAUAUGGGAUGGUGUGAUGAUGAAGUGGUGAGAUGAUGCAGUGCUGUGAUGGGGCUGUGCUGGGGAGUGCCUCCAAAAGCAUCACCAGAAGCCUGAUGGCCACCCAAAGCAUUUUGCUGCACCCAGUGCCCUUGUGGGUGGUAGCCUGCCCAUGCUGAGGAACUGAGGGUGUGUUUGGAGGAUAUGAAGAGGUUGGUCAGGGAACUCAUGGAAAUGCAAGUGCAAGGGCUGAGAAAAAGGUGCUUUCUGUGUCAUAGACAUAGGUUAGGAAAAGAGGAGACAGCAGAGAGGUGAGAUCAUGGAGCAAGGAGGAGUGGAAUCUAUUAGAGCAUCAAAUGGCUGGAUUAAGUCAUACCACGUGAAGGCUAAGGCAGCUCCUAAAGAAAGGGAAAAUACAGGUGAUGAAGGAAGAAGUCAGUUUAACAGACCUGAAAUCUGGCCUGCCUGCAGAAAUGCGGGCUUGGAGCAAUGACCUUCUUUGGGAAGAAAAGGAGAAGCUGCUGACCAGUGGAUGCUUACCCAUUUCCUCCAGCCCAUGGCUUCCCCCAGUCUCCAGCAUUGGCUGAGUAGGAAGGGACCUUUGCUCAAGGAGAGUGCUGGAUUUUCUGGCUGGUGGACAAGGGCAAGGAAGACCUGGUGAGGACAGUUCUUGCACUAGAUAUGGAGAGUGGGGAUCCAUGUUGAUGAGUGUCAGGAACUAGUGAGGGGGAACCACAAAAAAUGGUCAGCAAGGGUCCUGUCUCUGGGACCAGCCAACCCUUUACUUCCUCUGCAGCUCAGGCAGAGUUUGCAGAGAAGAGAGUCUGAUAAUACAUUGUCCCCACUUUAUAAGCAAAUAUCUUGAAAUAAUACAUACAACUUUUGCUGAUAUCUUUAUCAUAGAGCAAUCUAAGGGUGUGCGUAGCUUGGAUCUGACAAGCAGAUCUCAGAAAACUUCUUCUGAUAGAGAGUGCAUUUAAAUGGAGAUGACAGGGAGAAUUUCAAUUUCAAUUUCUUCUAUAGAUAUGACCAAAAAAAAAAGAGCAAAUGUGAAAGUGUUAGAAAAGAAACAGAAUUUCAUUUAGACAUCUUGUGUUGAAACAUUGUGAUGUCUUUCUUUGAGAACUUUCAGGGCCACUGUACCCCUCAUUCAAGACACUUAGAAAAACCAAGACAUGAGAACAGCAGAAACCAGGCAGAACAGUCUUGUUGAGGCUUCCUGAGAGAGGAAAAGUGGUUGUUUCAGCUGUUGAAUUAUUCCUUCAGUUCUACUGCUCAAGUUCUCCUGAGUUGCUCCAGUGGCACCAUGGAGUCUUAAAUCUAGCCAAAGGAUUCUCGUGGUGCAGGAAAACCCCUAUGUAGCCUCAAGCCAGGGAAGUUGUUUAAGUGAGGCUACAGUUGUGUUUAGACCAGGAAUGGUUCUCUGUAUAGGGCUGGAAGCAUGUGGAAAGGCACAAUGCAGCUGAGAAGUUCCCUCCUCUGUUUCCAUUUUGUGGCUUCUGCAAUAAUCUGUC
ensembl:lncRNA